rnacentral:tRNA from 1 species
AAAUAAGAAGCUAUAAAGCAAUCAGUUUCGACCUGAAAGAAAGGUAUUAUUACCCUUAUUAU